rnacentral:rRNA from 1 species
AUUGAACGCUGGCGGCAGGCCUAACACAUGCAAGUCGAGCGGAGCGGCGGACGGGGGAGUAAUGCCUAGGAAGCUGCCUGGGAGUGGGGGAUAACGGACGGAAACGGGCGCUAAUACCGCAUACUAGAAGAGGAGCCUAGGCCGGAGUAGCUAGUUGGUGGGGUAAAGGCCUACCAAGGCGACGAUCCGUAACUGGUCUGAGAGGAUGAUCAGUCACACUGGAACUGAGACACGGUCCAGACUCCUACGGGAGGCAGCAGUGGGGAAUAUUGGACAAUGGGCGCAAGCCUGAUCCAGCCCUGCCGCGUGUGUGAAGAAGGUCUUCGGAUUGUAAAGCACUUUAAGUUGGGAGGCGUUACCUACAGAAUAAGCACCGGCUAACUUCGUGCCAGCAGCCGCGGUAAUUC